GCUGACCUCUGCGAAUGUCCCUAAUGUGGACAUCUCGGACGUAUAAUUUUUGCUAGUCGGGACUGCGUACGCGCUCUCCCGG
rnacentral:snRNA from 9 species